rnacentral:rRNA from 1 species
UUGUUCUUUAAAUGUGGACUAGUAUGAAUGGCACUACGAGGGUUAUACUGUCUCCUUUUUCUAAUCAGUGAAACUAAUUUUCCCGUGAAGAAGCGAGGAUAUAAUUAUAAGACGAGAAGACCCUAUGGAGCUUUAAACAACCUAGCAAUUACUUCUAAAAUUAUAAAUUUCAGAAUACUCAUUUUUUAAGCAAUAUGUCUGCAAGUUUUUGGUUGGGGUGACCAUGGAGAAUAACAUAACCUCCAUAUUGAAUGAAUUUUUAUUCUAAGCUAAAAAUUACUAAUUGAAGCAUCAACAUACUGACAUCUAUUGACCCAAUAUAUUUGAUCAACGAACCAAGUUACCCUAGGGAUAACAGCGCAAUCCAUUUCAAGAGCCCCUAUCGACAAGUGGGUUUACGACCUCGAUGUUGG